CGGAGGGUGCAAGCGUUAUCCGGAUUUACUGGGUUUAAAGGGUGCGUAGGUGGGUAGAAAGUCAGUGGUGAAAUCUUCGGGCUUAACCCGGAAACUGCCAUUGAUACUAUUUAUCUUGAAUACUUUGGAGGUAAGCGGAAUAUGUCAUGUAGCGGUGAAAUGCUUAGAUAUGACAUAGAACACCAAUUGCGAAGGCAGCUUACUACACAGUUAUUGACACUGAGGCACGAAAGCGUGGGGAUCAAACAGGAUUAGAUACCCUGGUAGUCCACGCCCUAAACGAUGGAUACUCGACAUCAGCGAUACACUGUUGGUGUCUGAGCGAAAGCAUUAAGUAUCCCACCUGGGAAGUACGAUCGCAAGAUUG
rnacentral:rRNA from 1 species